GUGGGGAAUCUUAGACAAUGGGGGAAACCCUGAUCUAGCCAUGCCGCGUGAGCGAUGAAGGCCUUAGGGUUGUAAAGCUCUUUCAGAGGGGAAGAUAAUGACGGUACCCUCAGAAGAAGCCCCGGCUAACUCCGUGCCAGCAGCCGCGGUAAUACGGAGGGGGCUAGCGUUGUUCGGAAUUACUGGGCGUAAAGCGCACGUAGGCGGACCAGAAAGUCAGGGGUGAAAUCCCGGGGCUCAACCCCGGAACUGCCUUUGAAACUCCUGGUCUUGAGGUCGAGAGAGGUGAGUGGAAUUCCGAGUGUAGAGGUGAAAUUCGUAGAGAUUCGGAGGAACACCAGUGGCGAAGGCGGCUCACUGGCUCGAUACUGACGCUGAGGUGCGAAAGCGUGGGGAGCAAACAGGAUUAGAUACCCUAGUAGUCC
rnacentral:rRNA from 1 species